UUUGACCAUUACCAACACAGCAUGUCGUUUGUGCUGAGCCAGUGACCUCAUAGCAGCCCGUUCUUUGAUAUCAACCCAGUAUGCUACAUUUGAGGAACAAGUGACCUCAUAGAGGCCUGUACUUGGACAUAAUCCCAGAAACCUAGAGGUGCUGAACCACUCAAGGCCUGUUGCCGUGGCGCCAGUCAUCAUUCUAGAAUGUGUUGAGAUUUGACUUUUUCCCAGCAAGCUAAAGGUCCUGAGCUGGUAAUCCUCCAAGGCCUGUGCAUUUACAUCAACCCAGCAUGCUAGAAUUGAUACAGAAGAAAAAGGAGGUGAUACCCAUGAGCUUCUCCCUCAUUGAGACUCUUUGAUUCAGGUUGUUAAAUCUGAGAGGAGCCAAAAGCAUUAGGGAUUGUCUGUGGGUGUGCCAAGAAAGACCCACUCACCCACCCAGUCAGCACAGUAAACUGUUACACUACUAUGUCAUUUAGAGGAAUACAAUGGUUUCAGAACUAACUGCAGUGUUCUUUACUGGAGCCAAAUAUCUAGGAAUAAGUGGUCAAUAUUUAUCUCAGCAAAAGGUCUUAAGCACAAAUGACACAAGGUUCCAUAGUAAGACCAAAGGCUAAGAGACUGAACUAGCAAUAUGAGAUGGGAAAAUGUUUACGGUGUUAGUCUGAACCUGACAUAUUUGUCAGGAUGUGCAACGAAAUGACAGCCUGAAAGGAAAACUCUUCACUGUUUGCAAGAACAUUCAUGAGGACUCCAACUCCUGUCACCCUCACCCUUUUGGAAUCUUUGGGGAGGACUUCAGGCAUCGGUGGAUUGGCAUGUUCUGUCUAUCUACUCUCAACAGCUAAUAGGCCCACCCUUGUCUUCCCCAAACAAAGGAAGGGUUUAAAGGGUGGUCAUGGACAAGUUUCCCAUUACUGUGUUGCAAUGGGGGCAGCUAUGGCUCCAGAAUGAGAUAAAAGUCAGGUGGUGGCACAUACAGCAGCAGAGGAAACAUUUCCUAUACUCACUUCUGCUGAAUUAGAUGGGCAGCAAGAACAGUAAGCAACCUUCAGUGAUUCACUCAGUUGUCAAUGAGAGCAGAAUUUGGCCCUGUGAGUCAACUAUAAACAUUUAAAAAUAUAGCUUUUUUUGGGUCAGUUUUAAUCCUACUACAUGCCAUCAUACAUUAUAAUUUAAUAAACAGAAAUGCAUUA